GUUUGGCGGCCGGCAUCCUGAUCGAUCGCACGUAUCUUGCGUUCUUGUCAAACACAGGACAGCGCUUCCGCGGAAAACUCCUGACAGUCUUGGCGUUUCGGCGGCUUCUAGGCGGUUUAUCUUCACCUCUGCCUGGUGCUUUUACAGACAGCACCUUGCUGCUUGCUAUAGCAGGUUUAAAACAAAAAUCUCAAAGAAACGGAAAAGUUUUCCUCAACAAAAUGUCUCCGUAAAUGACGAGAAUUGUUGAAACCGCACGAUCUCUGCUUGGAGGAGUCAAAUCGCCCUUCCCUGGCUGCUCCUUGUCUGGGAGUUUGCAAUAAUUCCAGCGAUGCCACGACAAAAACACCUUAUAUUUAUGAAGCACCUUAUAGUACUUAAAACACCGUUAAACAUAUGGCUUCGUUUGAACACAAGCCACCCUUUGAAGUCGUCGAGACAGAAACAUCAUUGCUCAGAGCAAUAAUUUGGUGCUGAUGGGUGAUCUGUACAGGACCGGAAUUAGACUUCAAGAAGAAGGAUACAGGUGGUUGGAGCUGAAAGUCAACCAAAUUGAACUUGAGUUGCCAGGACAUCUCGAGGUUAUUUGCUAAUGAAGCAGAUGUACAAUGUAUGCUUGGAGCAGAAAUGGAGCUCAUGUUUUGAAGUCAUACCUUGGUAAAAAUUAAAGUAUAGCUUUCCCGGAUUCCCAGAAGCAGUGCCCACAAAACAUGAAAAGUCAAAAAUUCCCCUAAACACUGUUUUUUAAAAAAGAUUUUAUUUAUUUAUUUGAGAGAGAGAGCAUGAAUGAGAGAGCAGA